GAUGAACGCUGGCGGCGUGCCUAAUACAUGCAAGUCGAGCGAACGGACGAUAAGCUUGCUUCUCUGAUGUUAGCGGCGGACGGGUGGGUAACAAGUGGAUAACCUACUUAUAAGUCUGGGAUAACUUCGGGAAAACGGAGCUGAUACCGGAUAAUAUUUUGCACCGCAUGGUUCAAAAGUGAGAGACGGUUUUGCUGUCACUUAUAGAUGGAUCCGCGCUGCAUUAGCUAGUUGGUAAGGUAACGGCUUACCAAGGCAACGAUGCAUAGCCGACCUGAGAGGGUGAUCGGCCACACUGGAACUGAGACACGGUCCAGACUCCUACGGGAGGCAGCAGUAGGGAAUCGUCCGCAAUGGGCGAAAGCCUGACGGAGCAACGCCGCGUGAGUGAUGAAGGUCUUCGGAUCGUAAAACUCUGUUAUUAGGGAAGAACAUAUGUGUAAGUAACUGUGCACAUCUUGACGGUACCUAAUCAGAAAGCCACGGCUAACUACGUG
rnacentral:rRNA from 1 species